AUGGUGGACUGUCUCUAUGCCGUGUGCAUUCCUUGCCAAUCAGACACCUUUCAAGUCAAGUCAGAAAAAACAAAGAUGUUCAUCACGAGGCCAGCUGGGUCAUCCAUCACCAUCACUGGUGACAUUCUGGAUCAAAAUGUUGACUACAUCCACUGGUACAAAUUCCAGGGUGAGAAGGUCCCACAACAUCUCCUCUACUACAAAUUCUUCAGCUACCAGACUGUGAUGAAUCCAAAUACCAAAGCAGACAAGUACCAAGCUCAUACAGAUACUUCAGUUUUUACUAAGAUUAGUAAACUUCUCAAUCUUGAAGAAUCCAUCUUAGAGCAGUACAGUCUAGUGUUUCUCAAAGUGUGGUUCUAG